CACCGAGUCUUUCCCUCCAAGCUCCACAUCAGCCCAGGGUUGCUUGAAACUCUGACAACCUGGCCUGAGAUUUUGAAGUGCAAAACCUGCUCUCUUUUCGUCACAAUCCCUGUAAUGAAUUGAGGUAUACAAAGCUGGUCAUACAAUACGUAGCAGCAGCGCGGAGAAAGACUCUUAGGGAAGAGUUUCCAUAGAAACACUGACGUCCUGCCCUGCUAACAGGACAUCGAGUUCCUUGAACGGGAGCGGUGCCUAGAAGCCCCAGUGAAGAAUGUGCUAGGUGCUGUACAGACCCAUAAUAAGAGACGGUCCCCAUCCUGAAGAGCUUACAGUGGCACGCAGAGGUGAAGUGACUUGCUCAAUAUUGCAAUAUAAGUCAGUGUUAGACCCAGGAAUAUCACCCAUUUGGCUUCCUGAGUCCCAGUCCAGUGCUCUUCCCACUGGGCCACACUAUUACAGUAACUAUGUGAAUCUCUUAUCAGCUCCUUUUCUUUCUUUAAAUGUAAGUUUAUAUACAGUCCAUACAAUGUAUCCUUCCAAGUGGAAGGAAAUAUCUGCAUAGCAUGUGUGUUCCCUGCUCCUUGGAGCAUUGCUCCUGGCUGGAAGACCAUAUGACAGCGGGGUCUGUUUACUUUGUCAGUUUUCUAUUAUAAUGAAAAGUCUGAACACACACAAGAGCAGUGGAAAUCUGAAACCAUUUGAAAAUGGGGAGGCAAGGCUGCCAUGUGCAAGGUACUUUCGGAGCUUGGACACAGCGCUGAGUAAAAAUCCUACUGUCUCUGAUACACAUGAGCUCUCUUUCAGCCCCUGGGGCUGUGUUUCUUGUUCCAUAGAGUCUCCUCCAUGCUGAAGAGCCCUGAUAUAAGAAGGGUCCCUGAGCAGCAACAGACAGAAA